AUUGAACGCUGGCGGCAGGCCUAACACAUGCAAGUCGAGCGAGCGGCGGACGGGUGAGUAAUGUCUGGGAGACUGCCUGCUGGAGGGGGAUAACGACGAGAAACGGUAGCUAAUCCCGCAUACCAUCAGAUUGGCCAAGAUGGGAUUAGCUAGUAGGUGGGGUAACGGCUCACCUAGGCUACGAUCCCUAGCUGGACUGAGAGGAUGACCAGCCACACUGGAACUGAGACACGGUCCAGACUCCUACGGGAGGCAGCAGUGGGGAAUAUUGCACAAUGGGCGCAAGCCUGAUGCAGCCAUGCCGCGUGUAUGAAGAAGGCCUUCGGGUUGUAAAGUACUUUCAGCGGGGAGGCGUUACCCGCAGAAGAAGCACCGGCUAACUCCGUGCCAGCAGCCGCGGUAAUUC
rnacentral:rRNA from 1 species